rnacentral:miRNA from 1 species
GAGAGGUAGUGACUCAUAUGACU